CAAUAAUAUGGCGAUGAGGCUCGCUAAAACUGUCACCCGACUGAUGGCCUCUACUGAGCG
rnacentral:ncRNA from 1 species